GGGGAAUAUUGCACAAUGGGCGAAAGCCUGAUGCAGCGACGCCGCGUGAGGGAUGAAGGCCUUCGGGUUGUAAACCUCUUUCAGCAGGGAAGAAGCGCAAGUGACGGUACCUGCAGAAGAAGCGCCGGCUAACUACGUGCCAGCAGCCGCGGUAAUACGUAGGGCGCAAGCGUUGUCCGGAAUUAUUGGGCGUAAAGAGCUCGUAGGCGGUUUGUCGCGUCUGGUGUGAAAACUCGAGGCUCAACCUCGAGCUUGCAUCGGGUACGGGCAGACUAGAGUGCGGUAGGGGAGACUGGAAUUCCUGGUGUAGCGGUGGAAUGCGCAGAUAUCAGGAGGAACACCGAUGGCGAAGGCAGGUCUCUGGGCCGCAACUGACGCUGAGGAGCGAAAGCAUGGGGAGCGAA
rnacentral:rRNA from 1 species